rnacentral:rRNA from 1 species
GACAGAGGGUGCAAACGUUGUUCGGAAUUACUGGGCGUAAAGCGCGUGUAGGCGGCCCUGCAAGUCGGGUGUGAAAUCCCACGGCUCAACCGUGGAAGUGCACUCGAAACUGCAGGGCUAGAGUCCUGGAGAGGAAGGUGGAAUGCUUGGUGUAGAGGUGAAAUUCGUAGAUAUCAAGCGGAACACCGGUGGCGAAGGCGG